UAGCACCAGUGGCGCAAUGGAUAACGUAUCUGACUACAGAUCAGAAGGCUGCAGGUUCAACUCCUGCCUGGCUAG